ensembl:lncRNA
AAAAAGACUGUAAAAAAGACCCACAAAAGGAAAACCGAGUACCUUUCAACUUUUUUCUCACUUUCUAAUUCUUAAGUUUCAUUGAACAUUAAAAGUUUUUAUGGGUAGCGAGGAAAGGCAUUUUGCCACUUGAAGCUAAGGUGUGAUCCAAAUUACAGGAGACUCCAUUUCCAAAGUGGUAUUUAGUGAGUUUCACACAUAUCUUUUUUACAGGACAUUUGCACUGGUGCAGAGGGGUGGAAAAAGCGACAGCAGCUCUCUGGUAACUUGCCCUUGCAGCCCAGGUGUGGUCACAGUGUAGCCUGGUGGGUUCUUUCCUUCAAUCCCUUUCCUUCAUGCCUUACUAAACAACAACGAGAUGCUUUUUCAUGCAUGAAUGGGCUGCAGUCCACUUGCUUCCAGAAGCUCCUCUCUGCCCCACCCCGCCUCUGCCCGUGUGUACAGGUGACUAGCAUCCGGUGGCACACAGAGGGCCUGUCUCAGUGGGCACAUACAAUGUUUGUGUUCAGUUGUCUAUGGGGUUGCCUGUGAGGUCUUGGCAUUUUAAUUAUACUACUGUCUUAGCAUUUUGCUCUGCAUUGGGUGAAAAUGAAUCAUGUCCAGGUUGAAAUCUAGACUCUGUCUUUCUUUUUUGUUUGUCUCUCUCCACUGUCAUUAAUGCUUGCCAAGACUUUGGUCAUGAAAGCCAGAGAGAGCCUCCAUUUUCCAAAGGAUAAGAACAGACAAACCAGCAGAAUCACUUCUUUAUUUAGCAGAAAGGAUUCAUCAUCCCAAUUUGUCAAGCUGGCGAAGUUCCAAUUAAUUACACCCGGCAAACCUCGGCUCGUGCUCUGCCCGGUGUCAGGCCUAAUCUAGUACCUCAUUUGCCGGCGGCCCAAUGAAGAGGUAUCAGAGGUGUUGUUCCUCUGGUACUUACUGUGAUGGAUGCUCCUGGCGGCGUGGCCGGUGGCAGAGGCAGAGCGGUGGACGCCUCUCUCCUCCGAGCCUGAGGCCUCGAGGCUCCUGCACUAAUUUGAGGGCUCAUCUGUAUAGUGGAUGUUGUCGUCAAGUCUAUCCUUCAUGGCAGAGCUGAAGGCUUUCCCUGCUGCAUGGGCUGCGUAAAUGCCUACACGGGUUCUACAUUUCUGUCAGAUUUGUCCUUGCAAAACAGAAAAAAAGGAAGGCAACUUAUCCUGGAGCUGAGUUUCUGAGCUCUUUAGUGGCUGAUGUGUUGUAGGGGAAAGUCACAGAGACUACCGUGUGUACCCAGAGCAUUUGUGAAUAUCUGUGCAUGCUCAUACCUGCGUCUCCGUGCUAUUUAUAGGCAGUGCUGUGUUCUUUUGACUAUGGUGACUUUGGCUUUCCUGCUCUUAGCUUAUCAGGCAAUGACCUGCUAACAAAUAUUAUUUAUUAAGCAAUGUGAGGCCCUACUGGAUAUUGAUAUGCGAUCUAUGAUGCAUGCAGGAACUCACGUUUGAUGAGUGACUAGAGCCCUGUGCUGUGCCAGAUGUUCCUGGCGUAACAUCUCUUUAGAUGAUUGUUUUUAUCCUUAUUUGAGGUGGGAAAAGUUAGCUCAGAGAGUUAAGUGACUUGCACAAAGUUGCAUAAGCAGUAAGCAUGGAGAUGGGAUCUGAACCAAGGUUGAGUUGAUGAUAAGGUUUCAGCUCUUUCUAGUACCCAGUCAUUUUUCUUAAGUAACUGCUCUUUCUUCCCCCGUUCACAUUCUGUCCUGGCCUAUGACCCUUGCCUUCCUAACCUGCAGACUGAGAAGCUACAAUAUCUUGGCAGGGUUGCAGAGCUGCAUGACUGCACUAUUGGUGGGGCUGUGUCUCCACUGGUCCAUGGGACUAGCCCAGCAUGGGGAGUAGCUCUAGGUGUAAUGGAGCUAAAGCCUGGGCAUGUUCCCAGAUUGCUUUGACCACUUCCCUCUUGCUCUCCCAGGCUUUCACCCAUAUGAAUCACCCCUCCGUUCUCAGCUUUGGAUGAACACCACCUGCAGGUUAUGAGGUCUGGAUCCCAGAGUGGCCAGCUCCACAGAGGCUGAGCAUUGACCCAUGGAAAAUAGGAGAUGGGAAGGAGACAAGCUGAUACAGACCCUCUCCCUUCCCGGUCCUGUGGCCACCUCGGAGGUGUGGCACCUCCUUGCUUCUCUUGAAGACAAGUCCCAUAUGCUAAGUGAACGUGUGUGCUGAGCUAUGGGCUGAGUCUCUGGGGCUCACAGUGAGUCAGUGGCUGUUCAGGAACACAUGCACAACAUCACCUUACUGCUGGCCUCCCUUCUCUUUUAACCCACCUCAUUUUUAAAACAAAGUGUGGUACCUUAAUCCUUAUGUCUAGACCUGAGACAGGGCUACAGUGGCAUUAAGCACAAAGCUAACUUCCCACCUAUACAGCCUACACAGAAGAGACCCUGAAAGGGACUGUCAUGUUUUGGAAAGAAUCAAAUCACAUCAAAAAUCAACUUUUAAUUUAAAUAAGACUUCAAGUGCAUUAAUAUUCAGCAUUUAAAUUCCUUCCUGGUUCACAAAUAUAAUAUGUUUUACAGUUAUCAAAAACAUAUGCUGCUUUUCAGCAGCAUUUUAUAUACAACUUGUUCAACAGAAGGUGCCAGCAUCCCAAUAUGUUUUGCUAAGCUUUGGCUUUAACCAUUGUGAUGAAAGAAUUCAAGUGCAACAGUGUCAUCUUUUUGAAAGUAGGGAGGAGUGUUGCCAAAGGGUAACUCAUGCUCCAAGAAGAAAGAAGGGAAUUAUUUAUUAUUUCUUUCAUUGAGUUAAUUUUUAUGAUGUUUCUAUUAUGAGAAGAUCUCUGUAUGAAGAUUGGUGAGAGCUACAUGGAUUAAUCAAUCCCAGAUCUUGUUUUCAAGAAAACUUCAGUUUAAUAAAAUACCUUCUGGAAGAAGCUAGUGGUGGUAU